rnacentral:rRNA from 1 species
UACGGGGGGGGCAAGCGUUGUUCGGAAUUAAUGGGCGUAAAGGGCUCGUAGGCGGCCAACUAAGUCAGACGUGAAAUCCCUCGGCUUAACCGGGGAACUGCGUCUGAUACUGGAUGGCUCGAGUUUGGGAGAGGGAUGCGGAAUUCCAGGUGUAGCGGUGAAAUGCGUAGAUAUCUGGAGGAACACCGGUGGCGAAGGCGGCAUCCUGGACCAACACUGACGCUGAUGAGCGAAAGCCAGGGGAGCAAACGGG